rnacentral:rRNA from 1 species
CCUACGGGAGGCUGCAGUGAGGAAUAUUGGUCAAUGGACGCGAGUCUGAACCAGCCAAGUAGCGUGAAGGAUGACUGCCCUAUGGGUUGUAAACUUCUUUUAUAUGGGAAUAAAAUGUUCCACGUGUGGGAUUUUGUAUGUACCCUAUGAAUAAGGAUCGGCUAACUCCGUGCCAGCAGCCGCGGUAAUACGGAGGAUCCGAGCGUUAUCCGGAUUUAUUGGGUUUAAAGGGAGCGUAGGUGGAUUGUUAAGUCAGUGGUGAAAGUUUGCGGCUCAACCGUAAAAUUGCAGUUGAAACUGGCAGUCUUGAGUACAGUAGAGGUGGGCGGAAUUCGUGGUGUAGCGGUGAAAUGCUUAGAUAUCACGAAGAACUCCGAUUGCGAAGGCAGCUUACUGGACUGCAACUGACACUGAGGCUCGAAAGUGUGGGUAUCAAACAGGAUUAGAUACCCUUGUAGUC